AUAUUUCCAGUAUGUUCAUAUUUGACACCUAAAAUAAUACGAAUGGCUCAUUAUAUUAGACCUUGCAGAAACUGCUCAGUUAACACAUCUGUAAAUAAGAAACAGAAAAUUUGUUUGAAAGCAACACCUAUAAUAAAGAAAAAGAUCCCAUGCAGAAAAUUGUUGUCUUAUUUGUAUGAUCAAUUGUUUACUCAAGAAAGACCUAACCAGUCAAUCACAUUGAAGAUAGAUAAAUAGCUUUACUUUUUAUCAUUGUGCAUACUCUCAGUUAUACCUAAAACAAACUGAAUCAAAGUGAAACCAGGCAAUUUAAAACUGUUAAAAUAUAGCCAACCCAAAUCACUUUGCAUAUCUGAAUCUGCAAAGCAGGAGCACUGGCAAUGCAUAAUACCCAAAGUCUAGGUGAGCAACAAUACAAUGAAACAUAGGUAAAAAAAUGCAGUACAAAGGUCUUAUUCUAAAGCUAGAAAGCAAGAAAUGAUCAUAUAAGAAGAAAACAUGAAUGCACGUCACGCCGGGGGGUGGGGAACAUUAGAACACAGUUCAGAACAUCUUAUCAUGCAAACUAUAACACAUGCACAUCUCCCAGUUUACGAAGUGCAGUGUGCAAACGCCUAUACUGAUGUUUGUAUGUAUCUUUACACUGAACAUAAGUUUCUUGUUUCCUACUUGUCUGAACACAGAUAAGUUGACAUUAGGACCUGCUAUUAGAUUGGUGUUUUCAGAAGAAAAAACACAUGUCCUUCAGUUGCCUACUUGUCUGAACAUAGAUAAUUUGACAUUAGGACCUGCAAUUAGAUUGCUAUUUCAGAAGAAAAAAAACAUGUCCUUUGCUGGGGUGCAAAACCUGGAAAGAUUGAGGCGACAUAUACCUCUAUUGAAGAGGCCGCUGCCUGACUAUUGGCUUAAAACUUCAUGGCAUCAAGCAGAUUGAUUUUGCACCACCGAUAUCACUUACAGUGGUGGAAAACUCAAAUGCCGUGAAAAUGGCAGCCGCAAGGUGACAUGUGCCACCUCACCCCUGUAGUCCAAUCAGUGCGAGCAAUGGCGAGGAGCAACCUGCGACAGUGGUUGAGUAUGAUUUUUCCGACAACCUAGAUGGCGGCGUCGUGAACCAAGAAGUUGUGGGGCUCAGGUUGGAGCUACAAGAACAAACAAAGAAGAAUAAGUUAGAAAUUAAAACAUCGCUAAGAAAACCAAAUGAACUAAAAAUUAACAUCACCUGAUGCGGAUGGAAUUCGGAUGGAAGAACAACCGGGAUGAGUACACCUCUCUAACCAGGCGAAGCGGAAAAUAGAGAAGGUGGCGAGGAUGACAAUCUAGGCCGUGGCUAAGCGGCUGAGUGGGAAUCUCAAUCGCUCCAAUGCUGGAGAGGCUAGAGCGGCCGGUCAGAGGACGAAGCAGCCAAGCACCGCUUCUUGAACAAUAUCAUGGGCACUCUGGUCAUCGUCUAGAUUGUUUCCAGGUCUAGAUGGUUUCCAGGCCAUGUUGCCUGAUGAAGAAGGAAGACCAUCCAUGAUGAGAACACAUCACCGAACCAGACAAAGAAAUCUGUGAAGAAAAUAAAAUGAUCAGUUGGAGAAAAUGGUGAAGGCAUGUACUGGUACGAUCAAGAAGGAACACGCCUAAGAAGGAGAACCCGACCUUCCCUUACCUCCGGCCCAACCACCAAUCCUUAUGACGGCAGGCGGCGGCAGAAUUCAUUCUUUUUACUGCAUAAACAAAUCUAACAAAAGAGGAAGAUGGAGAGGUGUGAAAUCGCAGACACACCCAUUUACCAUCCCCGUCGCCUCCUUGCUCUAAAUAAAAAGCUUUUGCCUCUCACAGCCUCACUCUUAUCCCCAUUCACUUCCUCUGUCUCCCCCACCGCCGGCGACCGAAUCUCGGUUCCCUGCCUCCCCGCCGGUGGCCUCGACAACCACAUUCUCCUUACAGUUUCUGCAGGCGACCGGAGACCAGGCAGCCCAGGUGGAAGGUCAGGUGACCAAGCGCUGGGGGCAAACAGAGGUGGAGCCGCGGCAGCGGCCACCGACACCGGCGUUCGAUGCCUCUGCGCCAGACUCCGCUCCUCCAUCCACGAUGUGCUUCCCGCCACCAGUGAGCCCCCUCCCCAUCAGGACAAGGUCGCUCACCCCAACGGCAAGUGUCGCCGUGCAUAAAAAAACCAGCCAUGCGCUCGCCCCACCAUUCUUGUCGAUCUCACCCCUUUGAUUUUCCCGCUCUGAUUCCAUGGUCUAUCGCCGCGAGCACCAAGGAGUUAAUCGAGGCUAGCAAAGGAGGCGCGGGAGAAGGGCUAGGACUGCUGCUUCGCUGACGUACUGCCAAUGCGAGUCGGCGGUAGCUUCCUGCACCGGCAGCCAGAUAAUAUUCCUCUCGGGUGCUUCGUUGCUCACUGAUAAGUGAAGCAGUUGAACUGCCCACGGCGCUGGCCGCAGAAGCCACCGGCUUGCUCGCAGGAUCGGCACGGCCCUCCAGCCGCCGGCGCCCAGGUGAGUUCGAACCCUGCUCUGAGCGCCAGCAGGACGUCGUCGCCUAUGCCCAGCACCGGCAUGGUGACGACCUCCUGGCAGAGCCGGGCCUGCUCGUGCGGAGGUAGCCAACCGUCGGGGAUGUAGAAGGAGAAGGUAACGUUGUGCCGGUCCAACAGACACGGGAUGAGGUGCCCGCGGGAGACCCCUCUGAACGUGAACGUGCAGUUGAGGAGGAAGCUCACGUUUGUGUUCCUCGCCGUGAGCGACAGGGGCGGCGGCGAGCCCGGCAGGAGGUGGAGGCUUCGGCCGGCGACGUCCGGGCACGUGGCGUUUAGGAGGGCGAUGUCGAAGGCGGAUAUUGCCGGUGUACUGCCGUAGCUGAUGCUGGUGAUCCCGUACUCGCCCGACGGCAGGCGGAGCACGGGCGUGCCGUGGCGGCACUCCAACCCGAAGCCAGUGUAGCCGCAAUGCGCGCCCGUGUCGUUGCCGACCCAGAAGGGGUAGCGGACAGCGACGUUCCCGCAGGCAUAGUUGGGGCAGCCUGCCGGCGCAGGGGAGGAAGCCACGCCGGCGAUCGGCAGCAGCAGGAGGAGGAAGGUGAGUGGCGGCAUAGUUGUGUUGGAGUGUUCGGUCACGUGGCCGUGGACAGGGGAGGCACCUCCCAAUUCAACUUGACAAAGCCAGUAUAUAUCGGCCUCGACCACGGCCAAAUGCGUUGCAUUUUCCGUGAGUAACUAACUGGCAAACGCAUUGCUUGUGCAAAUUACCUAACUUCGCAUGCGUUCUGGUGCUGGUUUCGCAAGCACAGCACUACCUAGCUUCGCAUGCGCAACACAUUCUCAGAAUUCAUUUUCCCUACCAAACUAGUAUCAGGUAUAUGUGUAAACGGACUUCAAUUUUUUGUAUAUUGCUUUGAUGUACUGCAGCUACCUAUAUAUCCGGCACAAAUACAAAAGAUGGGACAAAAAGAAAAGAAAAGAAAAGAAAACUGUGUUGCCAGUGUA